UUUUACAAGGAUAGGAUUCGAUUAAAGUCUUCUAAAAAUUAUGUUGUUUCUUUCCAGCCAAAUAACCCAUCAGCUUGUCAUUAGCAUAAACAAUCCCUUCGUACUAGCCUGGUAACCUCUAUUCUCCACCGAAUUUUUUCCUAGUACCCUAAACUCCUCUCGAAACUCUUGCUUGUGUGCCUCUUUUGCGUACAUCAGCAGUAGGUACCUGGUAAUGGCACAUCUCGAGAAGAGACAAUCUAUCGUUUCUGAAGCAUCCCCAC
rnacentral:lncRNA from 1 species